AAAUGUUUGACCUAGAAACAAAUGAACAUGUCAAGAAGGCCAUAAAUGACCGACAGAUGCCUAAAGUGGAAUACAGGGACAUUGAGAUUGAUGAUUACAACCUGCCCAUGCAGAUACUGAAGCCAGCAACCUUCACCGACACCACCCACUACCCUCUGCUCCUGGUGGUGGAUGGCACCCCGGGCAGCCAGAGUGUGGCUGAGAAGUUCGAGGUGAGCUGGGAGACGGUGAUGGUGAGCAGCCAUGGCGCGGUGGUGGUAAAGUGUGACGGCCGUGGCAGCGGCUUCCAAGGGACCAAGCUCCUGCACGAAGUGAGGCGGCGGCUGGGCUUGCUGGAGGAGAAGGACCAGAUGGAGGCCGUGCGGACGAUGCUGAAGGAGCAGUACAUUGACAGGACGCGUGUGGCCGUGUUUGGGAAGGUGAGUCUGCGCCACCCUGGUCUGAAAACCCCUCAGUUCCAGUGUGGCCUGCACCAUUACCCACGUCUAAUCCUGAUUUAUUGAGAACGUCUGUGGUCUGCUGGUGAGCAAGUAAUUUUUUAAAAUCAAGAGCCUGGGUGCU
rnacentral:sRNA from 1 species